rnacentral:lncRNA from 1 species
AUCAACCCACUUAAAUCAUCAUUUCAUAAUGUUACCAUGAAAUUUUACUAUUUUUACUAAUUAAUUCCUACACACAAUUUCACCAAAAAUCACUUAACAAAACAUGUUUGUUUAACAACCAAGGGCAAUAAUCUAUCAAUUAACAUCAAAACACAUUUAAAAUCAACUAUGGCAAGUCCCUCAACCUUUAACAAUUUUGCAAAUUAACCCCCGGGCUAGCUAACUAAGCUGAAAUGAGAAAAAAAAAACAUAAAAAUCACUAAAAUCGGAGCUCAAAUACAUACCAUGCAUGAAGAAGCUCAAAAUCAAAG